CUUUUUUGGACGAUAUACUAAGCGUUGGCGUUUUUGGCCAUUUUCAUACGACAUACUAAACUAUGACGUUUUUUUUCAUUUUCGGACACAGAAUGCCAUUUUUGACCAUUUUUGUCGACAUACUAAAAUAUGACAUUUUUUUUAUCCUUUUCUGGACGACACACUAAACUAUGACGUUUUUUGUCCAUUUUUGGACGACACACUAAACUAUGACGUUUUUUGUCCAUUUUGAGGACAUACUAAACUAUGAUGUUUUUUGUCCAUUUUUGACGACAUACUAAACUAUGACGUUUUUUGUCCAUUUUCGGUCAACAUAUUAAACUAUGAAGUUUUUUGUCCAUUUUUGACGACUUACUAAACUAUGAUGUUUUUUGGCCAUUUUCGGACGACAUACUAAACUAUGACUUUUUUUUCAUUUUCGGACACAGAAUGCCAUUUUUGUCCAUUUUUGACGACAUACUAAAAUAUGACGUUUUUUGUCCAUUUUGACGACAUACUAAACUAUGACGUUUUUUGUCCAUUUUGACGACUUACUAAACUAUGACCUUUUUUGUCCAUUUUUGGACGACAUACUAAACUGUGACGUUUUUUGUCCAUUUUUGGACGACAUACUAAACUGUGACGUUUUCUGUCCAUUUUUGACGAAAUACUAAAUUAUGAUGUUUUUUGUCCAUUUUCAGACCACAUACUAAACUAUGACUUUUUUGUCACAUUUUGGACAACAUACUAAACUAUGACGUUUUUUGUCACAUUUUUGACGAGACACUAAACUAUGAUGUUUUUACGGCCGCUUUAAAAAUUCACAAACUCGGCUCAAACAAAGAGACCGACAAUAUAUAAACAGGACACAGACAUGACAGGUGAGUUGGUGAGGUGAAAAAAACAACUUUAGUCAUGAAUAAUCCAAGUAAUCAGGAUAGAAAUAAUGGUAAAAGGAAAAGGGCUGUAGUUGCUGGCCAAAACAAACAAGAGGAGUGGUGAACACGGCUAACCCGGCAAUGGGGCCUCGGACCAGUCACCAUCCCUAGCUAAACUGCCUCACCAAAAAUACUGCUACAAAAGGAAAACAGCGAAAAUAGGACAACCAGCAACUACAGCCAAACUAAAAUAAUAAAACCCAGCAAUCUAAACAUGCAUGGGGGGGGAAUGAAUCCAAUGCCUGAAAAGAGAAAACUCAUUGUUAAUCACGAAAGGAGAAGUUACACAAACACAAAAAGACCCUCACGCGUUUGUCCGGGGAGGAGGUGUGGCUUUGCGGUAUUCAUGCCUCUGCUCUGCCUGCCUCUUCUCUCCUGCCUCCCUAAAUACCCUCCUCCUCCCUACAUGCUAACAGCACUCAGGUGUGCUGCACUUGCACAGGUAAAGGAAGGAGGGAGAUCAGAGAGACCAAGGAGAGAGGCAGCAGCCAGCAACGCGUAACAGACUUUUUUGUCACAUUUUGGACCACAUACUAAACUGUGACAUUUUUGUCAUCUUUUGGUGUGCAAAUUCCCUGCUCUUAUCUGCUGUGCCUUUAAGAGACAGCGUCAUUGCGUCACGUUCAUCUCCCCAUGACAUGCGCACUGCUCAGUAGGUAUUCAGUACGCAGAGGGAGCCACAACCGUGAGACGCAUCUCGUGGACCUUUGUGUGUUUGUGCUUAUUUGUGUGUAAAUGCCUAUGUAAGUAUUCCAAAUGCUUGUUAUCUAUGUGUUAUAAGUAAACCCACCUUACAGAGAGUGAUUUCGCUGUGCCAAAGCGCAUUUAUGUUCUCUACUAAAGUUAAUUGAUUUGCCUCGCUCUGUCCGCCAUUGAACACGAGGGCCGCAGUUAUGAAACCUCUGUCGUCAGUUGGCGGCCCUCUGGCGCGCCCUUGUGGACACUAAGCGCAAUUGCAGCCAUGUUUAUUGCUAUUAACCUAUGCCUGUAUAACUGUGUGUUCAUAAUGAUAGGCCUGUUAUAUGACCGUGUAUUCGUCAUUAUCAUUGCACACUUAUACCUGAUGUGCUCAUUGGUGUGUAACACAUUUAUUCAUUGUUCUUUAUAGGAAACCGUAUACAGAUACAUAAACAUACACCCACGCAUAUACACUCAUACUCACUUAUCUUCCACUCACUGUCAUACCUGGAUGUAUAUAGCUUCCUAUUUGGAUACAAUAAAGAGGAUUUCUUCAUCAAAUCUCUGGAUCAGCUGCAGUCUUUCUGACAGAAGACUUAGGCCAGACUUGUGUAAAGCCAGCAUACAGUGUCAUAAUAUCCACAGACGACAUACUAAACAAUGACGUUUUUGUAAUAUUUUGGACGACAUACUAAACCAUGACGUUUUUUCUUAUAUUUUUGAUGAAAUAUUAAACUAUGACGUUUUUGUAAUAUUUUGGAUGGCACACUAAAAUAUAACGUUUUUGUCAUAUUUUGGAUGACACACUAAACUAUGAUGUUUUAGUGAUAUUUUGAAUGGCAUACUAAACUAUGACGUUUUUGUCAUAUUAUGGAUGACAUACUAAACUAUGACGAUUUUUAUGAUAUUUUGUACAACGCUUCCUAUAGUUCUUUUCAGAAGUACAAACAUUAGCAGUCAGAAAAUUGUGAGGAAAGAUGUUUCGUUUUUCAACUUUCAACUUUUAAUCUGAACACUUCAUUAACUUUGUUAGGUUUCCAUUCUUCAUGCUAACCUAACAAACUGUACCUGUUGUGCCUUCAUAUUUAGAAAGAGCAAAUUAAGCAUCACUCCUUGCAAUGCUCAGUAAUUCCUUUACUGUGAUUGAAGGCAUUAUUCACAAACUGCAGUCCACGUGAAACAUAACGUGUAAAACAUCAUCUUGCAGUAUGUUCACAAUCUGUUUCUAAAACCAGAACAUGAUUCCAGCUGUCGUAUUUUCUCUCCCACUUUGACAGCUAUAAUUUGAUCUAAAGCCACAUUUUGUCGUCAGGGCAACGUCUCUUCCCUCAGUUCUCGCUGAACAGACGUUUUGGCUGCUCGAGAUGAAACGCUAUGAUAAAGAUUUAAUUUCUGAGGUUCUGUAGCUCCUCUAGGAUUUAGCUGAAAAAGAGGAGCUCAGUGGGGAAGACUCGAGUCUCCAUUUACAUAUGAUUACAUUAUGGAUGUCAGGGGAACAGACGGUACCUGCCUCUGCUGAGUUCUUCUUUAAGACCACCAGAUCAAUCUGCUCCAAAUCCGCGUUCAGGACCACCAGAGCGCCAAAGGAAGAGGCAAGGGCAAGGGCCGGCUGAGAUAGACAGAAACACGGACAGAAGUUCUCACAGGAGGCGUCUGAACACGAGC